CCCCGGCUAGCUCAGUCAGUAGAGCUUGAGAAUCUUAAUCUCAGGGUCGUGGGUUGGAGCCCCACGUUGGGCG
rnacentral:tRNA from 3 species